AAAGUGCAAACAGUGAUAGGU
rnacentral:miRNA from 1 species